UUUUUUUUUUUGGGGGGGGAAGGGUUAGGUGGGGGCAAUGGUGCUCAGGGCUUACUCCUGACUGCACUCAGGGAUCAGUCCUGGUAGUGCUGGGGACCACAUGGGGUGCUGGGGAUCAAACCCAGGUCAGCUGUGUGCAAGGCAAGUGUCUAGGUCUUUGAACACAAGGCAUGCACCUGACCGCUCACUCACUCCCCAGCUCUCAGGGAAAAUUUUAACUAAGGUUCAUGUCUUUUUGUGUGUGUGUGUGUGUUGGGGGCUUACUCAGCAAUACUAAGGGCAAGCAUUGGCUCUGCACUGAGGAAUCACACCUGGUGGUACUUGGAGGACCGAACCGGAUGCCAGGGAUUGGGCUGACCUACUGCAAGGGCAAGCACCCUACCCACUGUACUAUCUCUCCAGCCCCUAGAGGUGCAUUUGAAAAAAAGAUCUACUCAAGCUGCAGUUGGAGAAUGCGGGGAAAGUGCUGGAAGCAGUGAGGAGGUGCUGCAGGAGCCCAGGAGCGAUGCCCAGGAACUGCAGUCGGCCCUGCAAUUGCAAAGGACACAGCUUUCUAGGAAACUUAAAAUUCUUGAGGAGACACAGAAUGAUCUCGCAUAUGCGGGACAUAAAGAGACAUAGUAAGGGGACAAAAAAUGGCCAAAGGCAGCAGAAAGAGCAUGAGAACUGGUCUUAGGUAGGAAGCUUGCCACUGGGGUGGGGUGCGGGUGGUGGGACAGGUCAGGGAAGGGAACACCAAGACUAUGGUGAAAGGAAAACAUGCCUGCCAUAGAGGUAGGCUGGAGGGAGAGUAAAACCGGGAGUAUUCUUAGAGGAAAGUGGACACUGGUGAAGGAAUUGGUGUUGGAACACUGUACAACUGAAACCUAAUCAUGAAUAACUUUGUAAUAAUUCACAGUGAUUCAAUACGAAUCUUGAUGGGAUCCUGGGGCUACAAGAGAUAGUACAGCGGGUAUAGGGCUUGCCUUGCACGCAACAGACCCGGGUUCAAUCCCAGGCACCCCAAACCCCACCCGGCAUGAUCCCUGAGGAGAGCCAGGAAUAGGCCCUGGGUGUGGUUCAAAAAAGGACCAAAAUAUAAGAAAUAGAAUUUUGACAGAAAAAAAAAGGAAUGAAUGUAUUGGUGGGGGAAGUGGGGUGGUGGCAAAGCCGGUGCUGCUCAGGGCUUACUCCUGGUUCCGUGCUUAGAGAUUCCUCCUGGCAGGGCUCCAGGGCUCCUCUGUGGGGAUCAAACCCCAGGUCGGCUGCGUGCACGGCACAUGCCUUACUCGCUGUACCCAGAGUGUGUAACUUCUCUCACCCUGAGUGUGUAACUUCUGAUGCAUUCAGUGGGCAAUCCUGACCAGUUCACAGUCACAGGAAGACAGAGGAGUGACUAAGCAGAGGCGUCCCCAGCUUGGAGGGGGGACGGUCAACUCCCGCACAAUGUAGAGUGCGUAUUGAUGGUCAAAAGACAGGACGCUGGAGAUCGGGCAGCAGGGCCUGAUGAGGACCGGUUCCAGGGAGGCAAUAGCAGACGCGUGAACCUGAGUUCAGAUAAAGCAUCUCACAAAACUCUCGCUGGGAGCAACUACCAAAUGACACGUCGUCCAGAGAGGUGCGGCAUGUCUUCCAGAGGAGCGACUACCCAGGACACCAGCGCGGAGGAGGCAGCCACCGCCCCUCCCCGCUGCCGCUCCGUAGACCUGUGCCCACAUUGUCUCCAAGAGCCAGUGCCAGGGCCGCUGCCCGCAGCAGACAGCUCCCGAUAGGAGGCCCGGGCCGUCCCUCACCAGCCAGCAGCGCGGCCGAUUGGUGCAACCCUCGCCGUAGCUCCGCCUCCCCGAAGGUGGGGUAAAGGAGGCUGACCAAUCGCUUGGGCGUGCGACCGCCCAGCCAGGCCGGGCGAUGCGCGGGGCAUGACGGACGGUCGCGCCGGCCGCAUCUCCAGCCGCGGCCCACCGCGCUCUUUAGAGAAAAGGUGUCAGGGGACCGGAAGCCGCGUGUCCCGGAGCAUUGUGGGCCAGGGCUAGGCGGGGCCGGGCUCGGCGCCUGCGCAGCGCCGCGGAGGGAGCCGGAGCGCCCCUGCCGCUUUGCGUCCUCGACUCUUUACCACUGGGUGGGAUGACAGCCGGGAGGACUAGGGUGGGCGAGCGUAUGCGCGGCGCUGUCAGCGCUAACUCCCCGCUCUAAGCUCAGGAACCACCCCAGGCGGGGCUCGGGGAAACCAGUGCAGUGCCACGGAUCGAACCGGGUAGACCUCUUGCAAGAACCUUAACCCUUUUGGGGCUGGAGCGAUAGCACAGCGGGUAGGGCGUUUGCCUUGCCUGAGUGCAGAGCCAGGAGUGUCCCCUGUGCAUCGCCGGGUGUAACCCAAAAAGCAAAAACAAACAAACCCUUAACCCUGUGCUGGCUCCCCGGCCCGCCUUAGCAAUUGUAAGGGGGCCCGAGGGCACCCGUGGGAACCGGGCCCCGUUGUACUCUUCAUCGUACCGCCCCUGUGCACCCGGCUUCUUCCCAUUAAAGGUUGCACAUUUGACCAGGCUUUCUCGGAUCCCUUCCACCCUCUCAGUUGACUCCAAGUCAGCUCGCCCAAGCUCAGGCUGCGCGCAUCUGUUUUCUGAAUCUCAGCGCCCCCACUUGUGAGCCGGACGUUAAGGUUUCCUUUUACCAGCCCUGGAAGAGGACAGCGGGCAGGGCGCUUGUCUUGCACGUCCAAUCCCUGGCACCAAUAUGGUCCCCAGAGUUUAGCCAAGGAGUGACCCAGAACAGAGCCAGGGUUAAGUCCUGGGCAUAACUGGGGUGUGGCCCCCAUUAAUGCACAUAGACAUUUCCUUUACUAAGUACUUGUUCUCUCCUCAUAACCUUUUGACAAGGUAUUAGUUUGCCAGCUGGAAGUCACUUUGUGGCUUCAACAGGCAGCCCCCUCCCCCACUUCUAUCAUCUGAGUCCCUAACACAUCCUUGGUGCUUUAUUUCACUAUGUUCUUAGUGUCCUUGGCACACCAGGCUCUGAUUUUCACACAGAAGACUCAAAGUGAACGAAAUGCGCUUUUUGUGUAUGUGAGAUGGAGACUGGUGAGAGGCAUGAGGGUAGAUUGAUAGAAGGAAAGAAUGAUCUACACUUUAUAUUCACAGCUGCAGAAGUUUAGGAGUCUGUAGCACAUAAACUAGAACCGGAGGGGGGGUUUCAAGAGAAUAAAUGGGAGAACGCACAGGACACUUUAUUGGGCUCAUGGAGUGGUGGUUUAUUUUGCUUUUAUGUGGGUGGGCUGGGAGAUGGGGGUAGGGAUUGGGUAGUAUCAUUGUUAAAAGCAAGGAUUUGGGGCUGGAGAGAUAGUACAGGGGUUAAGGCACUUGCCUUGCAUGCAGCAGACCCUGGUUGGAUCCCUUGCAUCACAUAUGGUCUGCCAAGCACUGCCUGGAAUAAGCCUUGGGCAGUCAGAAAUAUCCCCUAAGCACCUCUAGGUAUGGGCGCCCCCCCAA